CUUCACACCUGUUCCCCAUCAUGCUCAUCAGGACACUGCACUUAAGCUCUGUGGAGAGAGGAGUCGAGUGCCAGAGUAAUCCCACUUCUACUGUGUGCCUCCUCGAGCUUCCUGCACCUCCGCCUAAUCUCUGCCACACUGGCACGCUCUCCCUCCGGACCCUCACCUGCCUUCACCCCAAGCCUCGCGCUUCACUCCUGCAUCUCUUGGAUCUCACACUCACCUUGAAUUCUGGAUCAGUCAUCCCCCACCUCACCUUUUUGAAGAAUAAAAUCACUGCUUCCUCAGCA